UACGAAGGGGGCUAGCGUUGCUCGGAAUUACUGGGCGUAAAGCGCGCGUAGGCGGCUUUGUAAGUUAGAGGUGAAAGCCCGGAGCUUAACUCCGGAACUGCCUUUAAGACUGCAUCGCUAGAAUUGUGGAGAGGUAAGUGGAAUUCCGAGUGUAGAGGUGAAAUUCGUAGAUAUUCGGAAGAACACCAGUGGCGAAGGCGACUUACUGGACACAUAUUGACGCUGAGGUGCGAAAGCGUGGGGAGCAAACAGG
rnacentral:rRNA from 1 species